CGUACACAAAAAUGCACAUGCUGUGAGCUCGAUGAGUAGGGCGGGACACGUGGUAUCCUGUCUGAAUAUGGGGGGACCAUCCUCCAAGGCUAAAUACUCCUGACUGACCGAUAGUGAACCAGUACCGUGAGGGAAAGGCGAAAAGAACCCCGGCGAGGGGAGUGAAAAAGAACCUGAAACCGUGUACGUACAAGCAGUGGGAGCCUCUUUUAUGGGGUGACUGCGUACCUUUUGUAUAAUGGGUCAGCGACUUAUAUUCUGUAGCAAGGUUAACCGAAUAGGGGAGCCGAAGGGAAACCGAGUCUUAACUGGGCGUUAAGUUGCAGGGUAUAGACCCGAAACCCGGUGAUCUAGCCAUGGGCAGGUUGAAGGUUGGGUAACACUAACUGGAGGACCGAACCGACUAAUGUUGAAAAAUUAGCGGAUGACUUGUGGCUGGGGGUGAAAGGCCAAUCAAACCGGGAGAUAGCUGGUUCUCCCCGAAAGCUAUUUAGGUAGCGCCUCGUGAAUUCAUCUCCGGGGGUAGAGCACUGUUUCGGCAAGGGGGUCAUCCCGACUUACCAACCCGAUGCAAACUGCGAAUACCGGAGAAUGUUAUCACGGGAGACACACGGCGGGUGCUAACGUCCGUCGUGAAGAGGGAAACAACCCAGACCGCCAGCUAAGGUCCCAAAGUCAUGGUUAAGUGGGAAACGAUGUGGGAAGGCCCAGACAGCCAGGAUGUUGGCUUAGAAGCAGCCAUCAUUUAAAGAAAGCGUAAUAGCUCACUGGUCGAGUCGGCCUGCGCGGAAGAUGUAACGGGGCUAAACCAUGCACCGAAGCUGCGGCAGCGACGCUUAUGCGUUGUUGGGUAGGGGAGCGUUCUGUAAGCCUGUGAAGGUGUGCUGUGAGGCAUGCUGGAGGUAUCAGAAGUGCGAAUGCUGACAUAAGUAACGAUAAAGCGGGUGAAAAGCCCGCUCGCCGGAAGACCAAGGGUUCCUGUCCAACGUUAAUCGGGGCAGGGUGAGUCGACCCCUAAGGCGAGGCCGAAAGGCGUAGUCGAUGGGAAACAGGUUAAUAUUCCUGUACUUGGUGUUACUGCGAAGGGGGGACGGAGAAGGCUAUGUUGGCCGGGCGACGGUUGUCCCGGUUUAAGCGUGUAGGCUGGUUUUCCAGGCAAAUCCGGAAAAUCAAGGCUGAGGCGUGAUGACGAGGCACUACGGUGCUGAAGCAACAAAUGCCCUGCUUCCAGGAAAAGCCUCUAAGCAUCAGGUAACAUCAAAUCGUACCCCAAACCGACACAGGUGGUCAGGUAGAGAAUACCAAGGCGCUUGAGAGAACUCGGGUGAAGGAACUAGGCAAAAUGGUGCCGUAACUUCGGGAGAAGGCACGCUGAUAUGUAGGUGAAGCGACUUGCUCGUGGAGCUGAAAUCAGUCGAAGAUACCAGCUGGCUGCAACUGUUUAUUAAAAACACAGCACUGUGCAAACACGAAAGUGGACGUAUACGGUGUGACGCCUGCCCGGUGC
rnacentral:rRNA from 1 species